rnacentral:lncRNA from 1 species
AACACAUUCAUGUGCCUCAGCAUGGGGGCAGCUGCACUGUUGCCUGCCAGCCUGUCCUCUUUGACUGCCGAAUGAACCAAAGGAUAACUCUCCAUUCGUGAGAGAGAGUGAGCUACAGAGGAAGAAAGACCACGCAAAAGGGAGGGGGAGAGAGGGGGGCGAAGAGGAUGUUCUCCGGCUCACUCCUACAUUAGGUCUCUGUGCAAAGGCAGAGGCUGUGGGAGCAGCAUCAAGCAAGACUUCGGGCAGUGAUUCUAACUAUUGCCUAUGAACACCGUGGCUGGGACGACUUUGACGAGGCAAUUUAUUACUUACGCAUAGAACACUGGCUGUGCUGAAACUGGGAGCGCAAACAGCCCCUUGUUUUCUAAUUUAGAGACUUGCAUCUUUUCGACACUCAACAGUAUCAAGACACUCUGCUACUACAGGGAAAUCAUCUUUCGGGAAUUUAUCUAAGAAGAACUUCUUAUGAUAUAUGAAGUCUGGGGGUAAGACCUGCAGUAAUUUCCCUUAAGGUGUUUUGCUACAACUAUGUUCCAAUGGUGUGGGCUUCCUGCAUUCACUCUCUUGGAACAAGAAAGGUGGGCUGUAUUCGUUUGUUAUUGCUACUGUUAACAAAU